rnacentral:tRNA from 1 species
UCCCCGGAGGACAAGUGGUUAGGCCACAGUGCUCGCACCAUUGUGACCUGGGUUCGAUUCCCAGCCAGGGAA